CACAGCCACACGGGAUCCUUAACCCAGGGAUGCUAGUCGGUUUUGAUUCUGCUGAACUGUGACAGGAACUCCCCUCUAUUUCCUCGCUCUUAACCCUCUUAACCUGCCUUUACAGAACAGUUUCUGGGUCUUCAGUUUUUGGUCUUGUGUGAGUCCCUGGUCGUCAUUUUCACAUACCUCCUCAUUUAUCCUGGGUCCCCUUCUGACCUGUUGGGCCAACGUCUGGCCGUUUCCACCAGGAAAAGGCGGUCUCAGACACCUUCCUGAACUUCGAAGCACUUUGAAGAUGUGGUCUCCGCUUCCUCAGCUCCUGCGCACCCCUCAUCCCGUUAAACUCCCGACGGCUGAGGUUCCCGACGGCUUCCUGACUGCCCGAUCCGAUGGCCCGUUUCCGGUUUUCAACAUUUCUCAUCUUUAACUUUGUUGACUUUUAUUUGACUUUUUGAUGCUUGCCUUCCAUUGCCUUUCAGAGCCCCAGCUGGCAUACACGCCUUUACUGAAUGCCCACAGCUCUGAUGUUUGGGAUGAAAAGGGAGUGAUCCGCGUUUUCUGCCUCCUAGGAUAUUACAUCAUGGGGAGGAGAGAGACAGGUACAGGGGCAUACGGGUCAGGAAAUAAAGUCCACGCCUCGAAGAGUGCUCAUCCCUGUGCCCACAGGGCCAACGGGGACUGUACUUACCUCUGAGCUGGGCUUCAGAGAUGACCAGGAGCUGCCCAGGCAGGACGGGGCUGAGGGUGAGAGAUCCAGGAAGAAGGCGCGUGUGCACCGAGGGACAAAGCAGAAAGGACGUGAAUGCUCAGAUACCUUCAAGAAGUUCAGUGUGGUUGGAUCAGAGGAUUUGGUGUGUGCAGUCUUAGAAAUGGAGCAGGUGAGAGGUGGGGCCAGAUCCAGAAGGCUGCAUGAGCCACUUGAAAGAGUUUGGAAACUGUGCAGAGACAUUGAGAAGCUGCUGAACCGUAUUACACAGAGGAGUGACAGGCUCAGAAUCCUGUUUUAGAAACAUCCCUUUGGGUGCCGAGCAGGGAAAGAGUUAGGUGAUGCUGUGAGUGGUAGCAGAGAUGGGGGGUGGUUAAGAGGCUGCGGCAGAGAUGGAGGCUGGAUGGAGCUGGCGCAGUCCAGGGGCGCGGUGACAUGCAUAGAAAACGGUGAAUGAAAGGGAUGGACGUUGGUGACGUUGUGGAGAAAUGACGGGAAAGACCUAGAAGUUGUUUGAACCGUUUUAACUGCCCUUAGUUCCUUGCUGCCCCUCCAGGCGCUCUUCCCGAGAGACAUUCUAGCCUUUCUCGCACUGUAGCUUGUUUUCUCUUACUUACAGGAUCUACUACAAGCCUUGUCUAAUGAGUCUCUAUGUCCAGUGUGCAGCAUGAGGCCUUGUGGCUAGCAGGUGAACAACAGAUACUGGUUAACUGACUGACUCAGCUUCCCUGGGUAAUGGUUACUGUUCGUUUCCGGCACACAAUCUGCCAGCUUAUCAUUCCUACCCUCUCAACUACCCACACACUGUACACCCAUAGAGUCUGCUUCACGUCUUGAAAAUUAAAAAAGUUGCAAAACACAUUUUUCUUACAUGUAAAUUCUUUAUAAAUUUAUUUUUAAUAACUUGAAGGCAGAAAAAGAAUCUGAAAGCACAUACCUUGUUUGCUUAUCAGCUUUCUAUUGCUGCUAUAAAAACUGCCACGAACAUAGAAGCUUAGACACGGCGAAUGUGCCAUCUCACGGUUUCUGUCAAUCGGAAGUCGGGUAGACGCAGCUGGCUCUAUGCUCAGGGUAUCAUAAAGCUGAACUUGAGAUGACAGUUGACCUGGGCCUUUCCGUGGACGCUCUGGGAAGACUCUGCUUCUGGGCUCGUUUGGGUUGUUGGUCAAAUCAGAUAGUUGUCCUGAAGGACUGGAAGCCUGGUUUUCUUGUUGACUGCCAGCCCGAGGCUGCUAAAGGCCGCCUGAUUCCUUUUCACGUAGCUCCUUCAUCUUCAAACCAGCAAGGCCAGCAAGGCUGCUCGGUACUGCUGGGGAAGGAUCAGGUCUUCAGGGGUCAAGGCCAACUAAAGAGCGUCACUCCCCACCCGGCUUUACAGGGCUUGAGUCAUCAGCCCCUGCAGUCACUCACCUUCCACACACCCUGAAAGGAGCGCAGGGUGGGGAGCGGGAGCGAGGAACUCUGCCCUGGAAAAACUGGCAGAACGAGCUUUCAGAGAGUUCGCUAUGUUCUGGAGAAAACUUUAUGAGCCCAGUGUCUUGCAUCUUGCCAUGCUUGGAAAAGCACUGGAAUCGUUAACCAAGACCCGCGUACCUCAUGACCAGCAGGGGCGUUCUGUCAAGACGUGGCUCGACUGCAUUGCCCUUUCUCCAGAACCACGGACGCCUCCUUUCUUCCUCGGAGCAGCUCCUCAGAGCUGAGCGAGGGGCUGUCUCCCGGGCCGGAGUCCUCAGAAAGCCACCCCCCGCCACACUGAAACAGCUCUGCGCUGUGCAUUUUUCAUUUCCAUCGACACCGAGAUGCCGGCACAGGAAUGUCCCCAUGAUGCAGGAGGUCUGACUUUGUGGCCUCAAACAGUUACUGCAAGGGUUUAGCUGCAGGGACGGGGCGGGGCGGCCGAGUGAACCUGCUGUAAUCACGUCAGUUACAGGCUUGCGUCAUCGUCAUUGUGGGCAGUGAGCUACUCUGUGAGUGUCAAGGUUCCCUGAUAGCCCCUUAUUCAGAUACCACGUGUGAUUUAUCCCGUAAGCCCUUUGUGAGCAUCCACCGGGCUCUCGGGCGCCUCCUGCACAUGGCAAGUAGGGCCUCAGGGAGGCCGUGCUGGGUGCCCGUCUUCAGACGAGCUUCCGGAUGCCUGGAAUUUAGUGAACAAAGGAAUAAGAUGGCAGAAGGAGGAGAGACAGGGACUCGUCAUCUUGACUCUCAUGGACCAAAGUGCUCGGAGAGCUUCCCUUACCGACCCUCCUUUCUUCCUGCAAAGCAGCCCUGCCUUCCGGAAGGCUCCGGGCGAUGCUCCAAAGGCCGGAUGGCCUUGACCAGGUAGACUCAGCAGGCAUGAGCCCCGCAGAGGUGGGUAGUGGUGGCAGGUUAUUCUGAUUAGACACUAGUGAGUUUUCAUUUUUCAAAAGGUUUGACAUAAAGAGAGGGAGACGUGACAGACAAUAAGCUGAAGGAGGGCGUUCCAAGGGUGACUUAAAGAAUUCAGCGGGCACGGUUCCAGUUGCUGUGUGGCAUGUCGGGGACACAUCUGCUGUCACAAUAAACUGUUCAUAGUUCUUCGCUUUUGUGUUGUCACCCUGUUUGGUGUCACUGAGGCCGCUGAUGAGUUCCCAGAGCGAAUCAAGGUGUGAAUACAAAUUGCCAAUCUUUAAAAAUCAGUGUGCCAAUCAAAUAAAGCAAAUUCCCGACUUUGUCUUUCUUUCACACAAUGCCAUGGCGCUUGUUUGAGAAUCAAGAUGAGGAAAUUUCCAGUCAUUAGAUGCAGCCCUGGCAAAUGAAACCAGUGCUUGAGAGGCCAUUUAUUACCAAUUCAGUUCAGCUUUAUUCGAAGAUACAAACAUGUUAGUAUUUCUCCAUUUCUUCUUUGCUUUGUUUUUUUUUUUAAAGAAAAACAAAACCAAGGAAAUCUACAACCCCUAAUGUCAGAGGGGCUAGAAAACACUUGUGUCCAUGAAGGUACCGAGAAAAGGAAAUAGACGUGUCCAUUAUUUGUGGAAUCGGGAGUCUCUGGUGCCUGUGAGAAGGUGACACCCAAGCUAAACCAAGAAAACUUCUUGAUGAGCAUUUGAUUCUUGAGUCUGUAUGGCCCCACAUCUCAGAAGCACAAACUUCAGGCAGGAAGUGGGACUGGGCCACUUUUGCCUUCGAUUCCUUGCUCUAUGAACUUGGGAAAGUUUCUUUAAAAAAUUAUAUGACGGGGAUAAUAAAACCCACUUCCUAGAAGUGUAACACCUAUAAAAUCAUGUGUUAGGGAGUGCUCACUGUGGCGCAACAGGGAUCACUGGCGUCUCCGCAGCACUGGGACGCAGGUUCGAUCCCUGGCCGGGCACAGCGGGUUAAGGAUCUGGUGUUGCUGCAGGUGCGGCGUGGGUCACAACUGCACCUCGGACCUGAUCCCUGGCCUGGGAACUCUGUGUGUGGCGAGGUGGCCAACGAAGAAAAGAAUAUCGUGUGUUAAAUAUCUAGUACUUUCAUCAUCUGGCCCAUGGUCUGUGUUCAACGAGUGGAAGCUAUUGCCGAUGUCGUUACUGCUUUCGUCCAGAGUAGCACUCCCAGGUACUUCUCAGCA